GAUGAACGCUGGCGGCGUGCCUAAUACAUGCAAGUCGAGCGAACGGACGAGAAGCUUGCUUCUCUGAUGUUAGCGGCGGACGGGUGAGUAACACGUGGAUAACCUACUUAUAAGACUGGGAUAACUUCGGGAAACCGGAGCUAAUACCGGAUAAUAUUUUGAACCGCAUGGUUCAAAAGUUAAUGACGGUCUUGCUGUCACUUAUAGAUGGAUCCGCGCUGCAUUAGCUAGUUGGUAAGGUAACGGCUUACCAAGGCAACGAUGCAUAGCCGACCUGAGAGGGUGAUCGGCCACACUGGAACUGGGACACGGUCCAGACUCCUACGGGAGGCAGCAGUAGGGAAUCUUCCGCAAUGGGCGAAAGCCUGACGGAGCAACGCCGCGUGAGUGAUGAAGGUCUUCGGAUCGUAAAACUCUGUUAUUAGGGAAGAACAUAUGUGUAAGUAACUGUGCACAUCUUGACGGUACCUAAUCAGAAAGCCACGGCUAACUACGUG
rnacentral:rRNA from 1 species